GAUGAACGCUGGCGGCGUGCCUAAUACAUGCAAGUCGAGCGAACAGAUGAGGAGCUUGCUCCUCUGACGUUAGCGGCGGACGGGUGAGUAACACGUGGAUAACCUACCUAUAAGACUGGGAUAACUUCGGGAAACCGGAUCUAAUACCGGAUAAUAUAUUGAACCGCAUGGUUCAAUAGUGAAAGACGGUUUUGCUGUCACUUAUAGAUGGAUCCGCGCCGCAUUAGCUAGUUGGUAAGGUAACGGCUUACCAAGGCAACGAUGCGUAGCCGACCUGAGAGGGUGAUCGGCCACACUGGAACUGAGAAACGGUCCAGACUCCUACGGGAGGCAGCAGUAGGGAAUAUUCCGCAAUGGGCGAAAGCCUGACGGAGCAACGCCGCGUGAGUGAUGAAGGUAUGCGGAUCGUAAAACUAUGUUAUUAGGGAAGAAAAAAUGUGUAAGUAACUAUGAACGUCUUGACGGUACCUAAUCAGAAAGCCACGGCUAACUACGUG
rnacentral:rRNA from 1 species